UGAGCUGGACCGGAUGAUCGCGGGCACAGGUGCCGAAAGGCCGUGCGUGAGGAAAGUCCGGGCUCCACAGGGCAAGGGUGCCGGGCAGUUCCCGGUGAAGGUAACUUUAAGGAAAGUGGAACAGAAAAGAAAACCGCCCCGGUCUUCGGGCCGAGGUAAGGAUGAAAAGGCGAGGUAAGAGC
rnacentral:RNase_P_RNA from 1 species